GGGGCUUUAGCUCAGCUGGGAGAGCACCUGCUUUGCAAGCAGGGGGUCGUCGGUUCGAACCCGACAAGCUCCA
rnacentral:tRNA from 2 species